CCUACGGGUGGCAGCAGUGGGGAAUAUUGCGCAAUGGGGGCAACCCUGACGCAGCAACGCCGCGUGAUUGAAGACGGCCUUCGGGUUGUAAAGAUCUUUAAUCGGGGACGAAUUUUGACGGUACCCGAAGAAUAAGCUCCGGCUAACUACGUGCCAGCAGCCGCGGUAAUACGUAGGGAGCAAGCGUUAUCCGGAUUUACUGGGUGUAAAGGGCGUGUAGGCGGGCAUGCAAGCCAGAAGUGAAAUCUGGGGGCUUAACCCCCAAACUGCUUUUGGAACUGCGUGUCUGGAGUGUGUGAGAGGAUAGUGGAAUUCCAGGUGUAGGAGUGAAAUCCGUAGAUAUCGGGAGGAACAUCAGUGGCGAAGGCGACUAUCUGGCACAUAACUGACGCUGAGGAGCGAAAGCGUGGGUAGCAAACAGGAUUAGAUACCCUGGUAGUC
rnacentral:rRNA from 1 species